GAGUUUGAUCAUGGCUCAGAAUGAACGUUGGCGGCGUGGAUUAGGCAUGCAAGUCGAGCGAGAACCAGUCUUCGGAUUGGGGACAGCGGCGAACGGGGUAGGAAUACCUCGGUGACGUACCCCCCGGUCGGGGAUAGCGGCGGGAAACUGCCGGUAAUACCCGAUGAUCUGCCCAAGUUUUACGACAGGGGCAGCAAAGGUGUGAUUCCGUCGGGGGAGCGGCUGAGGUCGUAUUAGCUAGUUGGUAGGGUGAUGGCUUACCAAGGCGAUGAUGCGUAGGGGGUGUGAGAGCAUGGCCCCCACCACUGGCACUGAGACACUGGCCAGACACCUACGGGUGGCUGCAGUCGAGAAUCUUCGGCAAUGGGCGCAAGCCUGACCGAGCGACGCCGCGUGCGGGAUGAAGGUCUUCGGAUUGUAAACCGCUGUCGGAGGGGAUGAAGUGCAUCGGGGUGCUCCCUGGUGUUUGACAGAGCCUCGGAGGAAGCACGGGCUAAGUUCGUGCCAGCAGCCG
rnacentral:rRNA from 1 species